CUACGGGUUGCUGCAGUGGGGAAUUUUGGACAAUGGGGGCAACCCUGAUCCAGCCAUGCCGCGUGAGUGAAGAAGGCCUUCGGGUUGUAAAGCUCUUUCAGCCGGGAAGAAAUCGCAUGGGUUAAUACCCUGUGCGGAUGACGGUACCGGAAUAAGAAGCACCGGCUAACUACGUGCCAGCAGCCGCGGUAAUACGUAGGGUGCGAGCGUUAAUCGGAAUUACUGGGCGUAAAGCGUGCGCAGGCGGAUGCUUAAGUCAGAUGUGAAAUCCCCGGGCUUAACCUGGGAAUUGCAUUUGAAACUGGGUGCCUAGAGUGCGUCAGAGGGGGGUGGAAUUCCACGUGUAGCAGUGAAAUGCGUAGAUAUGUGGAGGAACACCAAUGGCGAAGGCAGCCCCCUGGGAUGACACUGACGCUCAUGCACGAAAGCGUGGGGAGCAAACAGGAUUAGAUACCCGUGUAGUC
rnacentral:rRNA from 1 species